CACGAAGAAGACUUUCCCUCAGCCUCUUUCUGUGUCAGCUCUCUGAGUGUUAGCAUGAAGCUCCUGAGAACAUUCUCUUUAUGGGACGAUUACACCUUAAAAUGAAGCCUGUUGAGACUGAGCCGCCCUGAAAAGGUAGCUGUGAUGGAUUUGAAAUCAAGCUGGAACAAGAGAUGAUCAAGUUUUCAUCUCAAGCAAAGGACUGUGGAUCCUCCCUGAGAUGUGAGAUGGACCACCAGAGAGCUGCAGGUGAUGUGAUCAGGUUGUAGAAUCUGCACAGCAAGACUGACGGAUGGAGGAGACACUGGAGGUUAACACUGAACAGAUGAAACCAAAGAAGGCGCGACAUGAAGUUUGGACUCAUCCAGUGAUGCCAUCAUCCUGUACAGAAACUAAGAGCCAUGUUUUGCUGUAAACAUGUUUUAAUAAAGUUCAAAGGAUGUUGUAUAAAAUUCAAGUAGUGUUUGUCAAUCUGCGUUGAAAAGUGAUCUGUAAGAUUUCUUCUUCAGACUGUCCAGAAAGAUCUGCUCCUCCUGGAGGUAUUCACGAUCCUGAGGAGAACAAGAGUUAGGAAGUAGACUGUCAGUGCAUGAAGUGUUGAUGUAUCUCAGCUGUGUGAAAGGACUUCUAAGCAACUUAAUAAAAGAGCUAAAGUCUCAACC